GACGAACGCUGGCGGCGUGCUUAACACAUGCAAGUCGAACGGAAAGGCCCUGCUUUUGUGGGGUGCUCGAGUGGCGAACGGGUGAGUAACACGUGAGUAACCUGCCCUUGACUUUGGGAUAACUUCAGGAAACUGGGGCUAAUACCGGAUAGGAGCUCCUGCUGCAUGGUGGGGGUUGGAAAGUUUCGGCGGUUGGAGAUGGACUCGCGGCUUAUCAGCUUGUUGGUGGGGUAGUGGCUUACCAAGGCUUUGACGGGUAGCCGGCCUGAGAGGGUGACCGGCCACAUUGGGACUGAGAUACGGCCCAGACUCCUACGGGAGGCGGCAGUGGGGAAUAUUGCACAAUGGGCGGAAGCCUGAUGCAGCAACGCCGCGUGCGGGAUGACGGCCUUCGGGUUGUAAACCGCUUUCGCCUGUGACGAAGCGUGAGUGACGGUAAUGGGUAAAGAAGCACCGGCUAACUACGU
rnacentral:rRNA from 1 species